GGAACUGAAUAAAUGAUGGGAUCAGUCAACCUCUGGAGGUCUUCUUUGCACAGGGCACUGCACACAUGUUCUCUUAUCAAGUGAUCGGACAACUCCAUGAAGCAGUGGUGCACCAUCAUCCUCUCCACUUCACUGACAGGCUUCCCUGGUGGCUCAGUGGUAAAGAAUCCGCCUGCCCACACAGGAGACGCAGGUUCGGUCCCUGAUUCAGGAAGAUCCCACAUGCGGUGGAGCAACUAGCCUGUGCGUCACAGCUAUUGAGCCGGUGCUCUGAAGCCUGGGACCCACAGCAGCUGAGCGCAUGCGUGUUAGAGCCCGAGCUUCCCGGGAGAAGCCAGCUCAAUGAGAAACCCGCACACCACGACGCGACAGUGGCCCCCACUCACCGCAGCUAGAGUAAAGCUUGCGCAGCUGUGAAGACCCAGCACAGCCAGACGUACAGAAAAACACAUAAAAUUAUCAAAAAGUAAAACGUCACUGUCC
ensembl:lncRNA